AAUUACAAAACAAGUGCGAGAACGUUGAUAAAUGAUGAUAUAAUUAU
rnacentral:guide_RNA from 1 species